ensembl:miRNA MIR34C microRNA mir-34c
AGUCUAGUUACUAGGCAGUGUAGUUAGCUGAUUGCUAAUAAUACCAAUCACUAACCACACGGCCAGGUAAAAAGAUU